rnacentral:rRNA from 1 species
UACGUAGGGUGCGAGCGUUGUCCGGAAUUAUUGGGCGUAAAGAGCUCGUAGGCGGUUUGUCGCGUCUGCUGUGAAAACCCGAGGCUCAACCUCGGGCCUGCAGUGGGUACGGGCAGACUAGAGUGCGGUAGGGGAGAUUGGAAUUCCUGGUGUAGCGGUGGAAUGCGCAGAUAUCAGGAGGAACACCAAUGGCGAAGGCAGAUCUCUGGGCCGGUAACUGACGCUGAGGAGCGAAAGGCAUGGGGAGCGAACAGG